rnacentral:rRNA from 1 species
GACGAACGCUGGCGGCGUGCUUAACACAUGCAAGUCGAACGGUAAGGCCCUUCGGGGUACACGAGUGGCGAACGGGUGAGUACACGUGGGUGAUCUGCCCUGCACUUCGGGAUAAGCCUGGGAAACUGGGUCUAAUACCGGAUAGGACUCCGGACUGCAUGGUCUGGGGUGGAAAGCUUUUGCGGUGUGGGAUGGGCCCGCGGCCUAUCAGCUUGUUGGUGGGGUGAUGGCCUACCAAGGCGACGACGGGUAGCCGGCCUGAGAGGGUGACCGGCCACACUGGGACUGAGAUACGGCCCAGACUCCCACGGGAGGCAGCAGUGGGGAAUAUUGCACAAUGGGCGCAAGCCUGAUGCAGCGACGCCGCGUGAGGGAUGACGGCCUUCGGGUUGUAAACCUCUUUCAGCAUCGACGAAGCGAAAGUGACGGUAGGUGCAGAAGAAGGACCGGCCAACUACGUGCCAGCCGCCGCGGUAA